AAAAAACUCUAAAUCAAAUGCACUCCACAUUGUAAUUGGAAAGCAUUUCACUCUUUCAGAUAACUCAUGAAAUGAAUCAUGAUUUUAUGUUUGGACAACUGUUAUUAUACCAAACAAUUCAAGAAGCUGUAUUCUUUUUAUCUAGAUGUAAUGACACAGGUAAUCAGUUUUCAGUUAAUUCUGUUUUAAAGCAAUAGGUUUGAACAUGGGUUAAUUAACAUAUUUGUGAAUGGCUGUCAUAUAUAUUAAAAUAAAGUAUACCACUAUUAACCUUAAAAUGAUAUAAAACCUGUACUGAGUUCUUGCUACGUAAUUCAGAAGAGGUUUCCAAAUUUUGCUAUGCUUCUCUAUUGACAUUUUGGUAUCUACUUUUUAUCGUGUCUGUUAAAACUGGUAAAAACUCAUCAUUAAACAUUUAGAAUUUAUAUAAUAAUUAAAAAUUCAUUUAGUAAGUUUGUGAACUUAUUUACUCACUGAGAGACAAAAUUUGGGUAUAAUAGGUUACUUCUUUUUAUAAAGAUGUGGAUUUUUAAAACAGAUAGCUGUCUUUCUGGGAGAGUUUAGCAUUUACUUAGCUUAGAAUCAGAGUAAUGGAUAAUAAUUGUUAGCGUUCCAUUUUCAGUCCAUAUUGCUUUUAAAAUAUGAAAAGCAUAUAGAAUACUUUUAAAAACCUUUUUAUCUUUCUAAUAUUUUUUUCCACAAACCAGUCUCUUGAUUUCUAGGUCUUCUCAUUGAACAACAUUUGCCUUCACCUGGGAUUAAAUAUGUUACCAAUGCUAUGAGACUCAGUUGAUUCCGUUUACCGCACUGGGAGAGUAGUAUACUUUAAGAAAACGUGGAAGAAAAUUUGUGUUUUAUUUUAUUUUCACCUAAUCUUUUCUUAGAUCAGCAUGGAGAUGCCUGUAAGCAGUGAGUCACAGAUAUAAAGCAAAAAAGCAAGCCAAAUUGUAACUAAUUGCGGUGCUACUAUAAUUGUGUGUUUCUUCAUUUUAGCCUAUUAUAAUUUGUUCUAUUAUAAAUGUCAGAAGGGAGAGAAUGACAAAUGACCACAUGAUUUUUUUUAGGCCAGUAUUCUUGAGGUUAACCCUAUCUGAAUACAUAGAACUAUGCGUAUUCUCUUCCUUUCUUCCUUCUCUUCUUUCUUCUUUCCUUCUUUCUAUAAAUAUUUAUUGAUGCCUACAAUGUGUCUGGCUGUGGACUAGAUGUUUAAAAUACUAUGUAAACCAAAAAGUUAAAAAAUUUCUUACCUUCGUAAACUUUAUAUCCUUGUAGAAUAAGACUGUGAGCAAACAAAAGAUAAUUAAUGAAUAAAUUAGCUAGCACUAUAUUAUGUAUUAGAAGGUAGCAGAUGCUAAGAAAAAAAGAUAUCAGGGGAAGUGGGAUCAAGAGUGAGGAGUAACUUGGAGAGCAACUGGAGGGUCUAGAGGAGAGGAGUUACAUUAUCUCAUCUAUAAUGUCGAGAAUCAUUGGGAUAACUCGGCUGUCAUGUUGAGAACAAACUAUAGAAGAGAAAAGGUAGAAGCCCGCCGGGCGCGGUGGCUCACGCCUGUAAUCCCAGCACUUUG
rnacentral:lncRNA from 10 species